UACGAAGGGGGCUAGCGUUGCUCGGAAUCACUGGGCGUAAAGGGUGCGUAGGCGGGUCUUUAAGUCAGGGGGGAAAUCCUGGAGCUCAACUCCAGAACUGCCUUUGAUACUGAGGAUCUUGAGUAUGGGAGAGGUGAGUGGAACUGCGAGUGUAGAGGUGAAAUUCGUAGAUAUUCGCAAGAACACCAGUGGCGAAGGCGGCUCACUGGCACAUUACUGACGCUGAGGCACGAAAGCGUGGGGAGCAAACAGG
rnacentral:rRNA from 1 species